UACAUGUAUUGGUCAGUUCUCCCCAAUUGCCACAUCACCAUUCCCAAACGAGUCAGCACCAAGCAGGGCUGCUGCCUAUGCUGCUUCAUCCCAUUGUUAUAUCUUGAGCUAAAAUAUUCAGUUUCUUGUAAACAUCACCUGGUUCUUCUGCAUAUAUACGCCGGAAUGGUGGCCCCCUUUUCAUAGUGACUUCCAUUUUGACUGCACGCAAGUGGAUGUUUUCUACUUAAGGCAGAGACGAUCUCUACAGACUUCGUUGCAGGUCUAUCAUUCCUGUCCUGCUAUGCAUCUUCUCAAUUUGGAGUACCAAGCCUAACCUGUCACUACGUUAUUCGUACAAAGAUGCUUCAUGAGAAUCAGUCUGGAAUCCGGCACCAAAUGCACCAGAAGAGGGGAAAUCAAACGCACAGGUCAGGACGUUCACAGGAAGAGAGAAAUGAUCAAUUGCCAUGUUGCAACAUUUUGUUUGCAAACUUGUGGACUUGACUAUAUUGUUGAAAGAUCUAAAAAAAAAAAAUGAAUGCAAUAGAUAAACUUUGAUGAGAGUAUCAAGAGAUCAAACAGUUUUACUCCAUGUGAAUCCUUUGUUUACCAAAUUGAGUCACUUAAAGAUACAAGAUCUAUUACCUGCGCCUGAUUUUACCUUGAAAAAAAUAUAGUACUAUUUCUGUAUGACCUAUAAAGUAAAAAGCCUUCAGAUGCGACUCGCCAAAUGAAAACCAUCCACGGAUAAACCCACAACUAUCUAGAAAAUGUGCUAGUAUAUCCACUCAUUAAAUUAAUAAAAAAUGAUAACAUAGAUAUUAUCACAGAAAAUUGUUGUAACACUUAGAAUGGCCUUGUCUAGUACUUAGGUAACUUUUGCCAAAUAAUUUCACAUAUUCAAAUGCAAUUGAGUAGAGAGUUCCAAAAAAUGCAAGGAGUUUUGUAAAAGGAUAAUGUUUGUACACUUAAAAGAUAAUUAAAAACAAAGUACCAGCUUAUAGUGGGCCGCAAAGUUAAAUACCGGUAUGUGGGUUGUUUCCACUGUACUUGGAAUAACAAAUGAUUUUGAACAACCAAUUCAAUUGAAGAAUAGAAAGAUGUCUAAUU